ACAAUCCGGUUUACGCGUUCAGCGACAAUACUCUGGGGUGAAUAUACAGGAGUACGCAUGUGGGUGAUCCCAAAUGCUUUGACCAUCGACUCAAACCAUUUGUAUAUAAAUUAUCGUUCGUUGUCGGAGUGUAACCCCUCAGGCACUCCGAAUUUAAAGAACACCUCGUGGACCAGGAAGUCGACGACGUCUGCGGCCGUUUCGUCCGUCUCUCAUCGCCUUCAAAAAUGUAAAUUUGGAAAAACUAUUACUAUGAAAUUCCAAGAGUGCCCACAUUUUGAUCGUGGAUAUUUCCCCAAGUCGACAUACAAUUUCUGUAAUUGGCGAUCGGUUGCACAUCCCCGUACGAUCCCAAGAAGGUCCUCCGACGUUGCACCCAACUCCUCUACGCUUUUUGAUAGUGUGUCCGCAACUACAUUCUCGGUCCCCUUUAUAAACGGCAUUAUGAACGGAAAAGCCUAGUAAAGUCUUUAAGACUCAUGAGCCAUAGGAUGCUUGCAGUGUCGGUGACCACUGUGAAUGGGACCUUCUUAACAUACGGCCUGAAUGACCAACUUCGCGGCCAAGCACUUUUUCGGUCCCUGUAUAGUUGAUUUGGUGCCGGUUCAGUAUGGUCGAAGAGAACUCGAUCGGCCACUUCUGCUGUUCAUCAUUCAGUUGAAACAAAACGGCUCACACUCCUAAAUUCGAUGCGUCACAUUGAAUGAAGAAAGGCUUUUUGAAAUCGGUGUGCACCAACACGGGUGCUAUGGACUGGAAGGAGCAGCAAGAGUGACCAUGGACGCGUAUGGCUGACAAGCUCUCGGCACCAUCGCCUCAGCAUAUUAUCCACCGAUGAUAAUAUCUUUCCUUGUUAACCUUCGCCGACGAAAACGACUUAAUUAUUAUGCCGGUUCACCACGGAGUGUCAGAAAUGCAUCGAGUACCAUUCUCUGGCUCUGCCCACCAACAAAAAUGGAAUCCGCGCAGCACUCCUCUUCAGGAAUAUUGACACUGUUUCUGCAAAAAUUCGAUGCGAAAGAACAAAUCCUCUACAGCAUGUGUGAAAUCGCUACAACUUCAGUAUCUAGAUGCAUAUGCAUGGGGAUUCCGCCAGAUCACUUCGUGCGCCAGUAGGCCAGGUUGUGACCAAACAAAAUUCUUUUGUGUACGCCCACGAGUAAAGCAGCUUUUGGAAUUCAAGGUUCAACCCUGUUAACCCCAAUCCAGUUAUUCGACCGUGUCAUCCUUUAAAGAUUUAGAUGUAGAUUUGCUGAACACUUUACUCAGGGUUUACAGACUUUAGCUAUUUAUUUUUGAUGACAUCUCAAUGGUCGAUGCCAUAAUGUUAUCUCACUUAGAUGCUCGUCUUAUGCAAAUUUUUCCUAACAGGGAAACCCUAUUUGGGGGCAUUUCAGUAAUUGUUUUUGGCGAUCUCAGGCAACUGCGUUACAUGCACCAUACAGUGCUAUAUUUGGGUCUGCUUUGUGGGAUAUUUUUUAAGUUUUUGAACUCACAGAGAUUAUGAGACAACGAGACUAUCAAGCAUGUAUGCCAGCGCUUAAAAACAUGGCGUCCGAUCAAAUGACAUAAACUUAAGUUAGCGGUAAGGUUUCGAUCUUAGACCAAUUUUCGAAUAAUGCAAUUCAUUUCCAUUAUUUGUUUUUGCACAA